AGUGAACGCUGGCGGUAGGCCUAACACAUGCAAGUCGAACGGCAGCACAGGAGAGCUUGCUCUCUGGGUGGCGAGUGGCGGACGGGUGAGGAAUACAUCGGAAUCUACUCUGUCGUGGGGGAUAACGUAGGGAAACUUACGCUAAUACCGCAUACGACCUACGGGUGAAAGCAGGGGACCUUCGGUCCUUGCGCGAUUGAAUGAGCCGAUGUCGGAUUAGCUAGUUGGCGGGGUAAAGGCCCACCAAGGCGACGAUCCGUAGAUGGUCUGAGAGGAUGAUCAGCAAAACUGGAACUGAGACACGGUCCAUACUCCUACGGGAGGCAGCAGUGGGGAAUAUUGGACAAUGGGCGCAAGCCUGAUCCAGCCAUACCGCGUGGGUGAAGAAGGCCUUCGGGUUGUAAAGCCCUUUUGUUGGGAAAGAAAUCCAGCUGGCUAAUACCCGGUUGGGAUGACGGUACCCAAAGAAUAAGCACCGGCUAACUUCGUGCCAGCCGCCGCCGUAA
rnacentral:rRNA from 1 species